CCUGUGUGUGAGGAACAGGUACUGGGCAUGUCAGAACACUAAGAAGGCAGCACCCAAGGAAGCUGGUUGGCUACCCCAAGACGACUACAGCUAGGCGGCAGAAAAGAUGGCUGAAAAUGCACCACAAACCCAACUAUAAGAAGGAACAGAAGAGCUGCUAUUAAGAGGCAUGAAUGGCUGAGCUUUGCUUGAGAGCCAACACUGUAAUAACGCAUCUUAUAUUUUUUCAGAGCUAUGCAGACUUUCCUCAGAGACCUAAUGGUUCAAGACACAAAUGGAAAGUAGAAGAAGAUGCUUGGAUCUGAACAUGCUGUUGUGGAAAAAUAGUUAUCAGAAUUCAAGCUUUCCUGUUGCUGGACAAAAUGCCCAUGAAUUACAAGUUAAAGGAGAUGUUUGUGUGCCUCAUGCUUUCAGAAGUUUCAGUCCACAUUUGACUGGCACCAAGACCUGAGUUUCAUGGUGGAGAUGUGAAGCUGUUUGCUUUGUGGUAUCCAGGAAGCAGAAUGCAGGGGAAGAGCACCAGAGAGUGUACCUGCAGGGGCAGCCCCCAGUGCCCAUCUACAAAGGCCCCUCCUGUCUAAUACAGCAUAUCAACUGGCAACCACCAGGGAUUAAGCCACUGAUGAGUAGAGCACCCCAUGAUUCAGGUACCUCUCCAGGUGUCUUUCACUCCAAUCCAGUUGAUGACCAAGAUUAACUGAACUAAGUAUACCCUUGUGAACUUGACACCUCAAUCACAUCUCCUUAAAUCAUAUUGAAUCUCCAAAUAAAGAGUUCACAAUUAUGCUUUACAUGAUAUUCCUAUUAUGCAUCAAACUGAGAGUGCAAUAAUCACUUCCCAAAAACUUAGUAAUAUGGUCAUCUGUCUUACACACCUAAACACACUUGCAGUUGUAUCCUUUAGAUCACUUUCUUUUCCUCUCUUUUUUAUAAUAACAUUUACACAUUUUGUGUUU